AACAACAGUGCUGGAUCUUCUAUGCCUAUGUCUAUAUCUAUAUUUAAUCUCUAGCUCAAUCAAAAUUCAAGGUAUCCUCAACUCAACUUCCCCUUGGCAGAGAGCUCAACAAUCUGUAGGCAUUGCGGUACCAUCCUAUGUGCAGACUCAUUUCAGCGGAAACCAAAAGUGAUCUUAAUUGUGAUGAAACGACUUUACCUUUGCAAGAUUCCAGAGACAUAUGUGGAGACAUAUGGCCAUGCAGCCACGUUGACACGGCCCUUCCAGGUCCAGGAAGCGGCCUGCGCCAGGCCUGCAAGCUUCAGUCAGCAAGAGGGGAGGCGUCAGAGUCAGGACACUCUGCUUCGGACUGCAGGCCCUCAGGUCUAGAAUGACAGGCGUGCACCAUCGUGCCCAGUUUAUGUGGCACUGGGGUUUGAAACAAGAGCUUCCUGCAUGGCAGAACCCAGAACCACCUUCCCAGGAGCGGCCCAACCCAGCAGACCUUCCCCCCAUUGAUCAUUAAUUAAGAAAACGCCCCACUCACAGCCGGAUCUUCUGAAGGCAUUUUUCUUGACUGAUGUUCCCUCCUCUCAGGUGACUCCAGCUAUGUCAAGUUGACAUAAAACUUGCCAGCACAAAGCCUUCCU